rnacentral:rRNA from 1 species
AUUGAACGCUGGCGGCAUGCCUUACACAUGCAAGUCGAACGGUAACAGGUCUUCGGAUGCUGACGAGUGGCGAACGGGUGAGUAAUACAUCGGAACGUGCCCGAGAGUGGGGGAUAACGAGGCGAAAGCUUUGCUAAUACCGCAUACGAUCUCAGGAUGAAAGCAGGGGACCGCAAGGCCUUGCGCUCACGGAGCGGCCGAUGGCAGAUUAGGUAGUUGGUGGGAUAAAAGCUUACCAAGCCGACGAUCUGUAGCUGGUCUGAGAGGACGACCAGCCACACUGGGACUGAGACACGGCCCAGACUCCUACGGGAGUCAGCAGUUGGGAAUUUUGGACAAUGGGCGCAAGCCUGAUCCAGCCAUGCCGCGUGCAGGAUGAAGGCCUUCGGGUUGUAAACGGCUUUUGUACGGAACGAAAAGACUCUGGUUAAUACCUGGGGUCCAUGACGGUACCGUAAGAAUAAGCACCGGCUAACUACGUGCCAGCAGCCGCCGUAACAC